AUUGAACGCUGGCGGCAGGCCUAACACAUGCAAGUCGAGCGGAUGACGGGAGCUUGCUCCUUGAUUCAGCGGCGGACGGGUGAGUAAUGCGUAGGAAUCUGCCUGGUAGUGGGGGACAACGUUUCGCAAGGAAUGCUAAUACCGCAUACGUCAUACGGGAGAAAGCAGGGGACCUUCGGGCCUUGGGCUAUCAGAGUAGCCUAGGCUGGAUUAGCUAGUUGGUGAGGUAAUGGCGCACCAAGGCGACGAUCCGUAACUGGUCGGAGAGGAUGAUCAGUCACACUGGAACUGAGACACGGUCCAGACUCCUACGGGAGGCAGCAGUGGGGAAUAUUGGACAAUGGGCGAAAGCCUGAUCCAGCCAUGCCGCGUGUGUGAAGAAGGUCUUCGGAUUGUAAAGCACUUUAAGUUGGGAGGAAGGGCAGUAAGUUAAUACCUUGCUGUUUUGACGUUACCGACAGAAUAAGCACCGGCUAACUCUGUGCCAGCCGCCGCGGUAAGAC
rnacentral:rRNA from 1 species